UGAUUGAUAACAUUUGAGUUGAGUGGCGGACGGGUGAGUAACACGUGGGUAACCUGCCCUAAAUGGGGGAUAACAUUUGGGAAACAGAUGCUAAUACCGCAUAAAACCUAGCACCGCAUAGGUGCGAGGUUUGUAAAGAUGGUUUCGGCUAUCACUUUAGGAUGGACCCGCGGUGCAUUAGUUAGUUGGUGAGGUUAAAGGGCUCAACCAAGACCGUGAUGCAUAGCCGACCUGAGAGGGUAAUCGGGCCACAUUGGGACUGAGACACGGCCCAGACUCC
rnacentral:rRNA from 1 species